UAUGAGUCAUUAAAAAGAAAGAAUACAUAUUAUAAUUACUCUUUUCAUCUUGAGUGGUCCUUGUAAGAUAUAAAAAAUAAAUUGAUAUAAGAUUUAGAUAUAAAAGAUGGAUGAAUAAGGUUGGAUAGAGUAUUAAAAGGUAAAUAAAGAAGUAAUUAAUAAAAAAAGAGAAAGAAGGAGACAGCGAGAGGGAGAUAUGUCA
rnacentral:lncRNA from 1 species